rnacentral:rRNA from 1 species
GACGAACGCUGGCGGCGUGCUUAACACAUGCAAGUCGAACGGAAAGGCCCUGCUUUUGUGGGGUGCUCGAGUGGCGAACGGGUGAGUAACACGUGAGUAACCUGCCCUUGACUUUGGGAUAACUUUAGGAAACUGGGGCUAAUACCGGAUAGGAGCUCCUGCUGCAUGGUGGGGGUUGGAAAGUUUCGGCGGUUGGGGAUGGACUCGCGGCUUAUCAGCUUGUUGGUGGGGUAGUGGCUUACCAAGGCUUUGACGGGUAGCCGGCCUGAGAGGGUGACCGGCCACAUUGGGACUGAGAUACGGCCCAGACUCCUACGGGAGGCAGCAGUGGGGAAUAUUGCACAAUGGGCGGAAGCCUGAUGCAGCAACGCCGCGUGCGGGAUGACGGCCUUCGGGUUGUAAACCGCUUUCGCCUGUGACGAAGCGUGGGUGACGGUAAUGGGUAAAGAAGCACCGGCUAACUACGUG